GUGCUCACUUCAGGAGCAUAUACAUUAAAAUUGGGUCAACACAGAGAGACCUAGCAUGGCCUCUGCACAAGCAUGUCAUGAAGAUUAAUGGAUUGUUCUGGAAGCUU